ACAUUCUAACAAGUCUGAGACUUAACACACAAAAAUGUUUUCGAAAUAUUGUACCAAUGAUAGGUGCUAAACUCUAAACUUCGAUUAUUAUUAUUCAUACUAUAACGGGUCUUCCAUGCUACAAAUUGAUAUCGUAACGUGUAACGAUGUAACGAAGCGAGUUCGUUUAUCGCUAAUCUGAUUUCACGCGGUCGAGAUGCUGAUGAGAAAAUCGCACAAUUUCGCCGAACUGAAUUACAAAACGUGUUACGCGCCAUCCAAAAGUCGACUACCUGAUAAUUGCAUUCGUAACAGCGGUCUAUAAUUUUCCCUAGAUUCUAAGAAAGUAUAUACAGGGUGUCUGGUCUUGAUCUAUUAUUCUAAAAAUCUCAAAAAGUAUUUGUACAUCAUAUGAAAGGGAAUAUUUUUAGAAGAAUUACAGGAGACCGGAAAGAAGAGAUAAGAGGUGCUUAUAUUGUUCAAUGGAGGCGUUAAGAUCAGGGCUAAAAGUUUGCAAGCGGUGGUUGAGAGACAACAGCAGUUCUGGUUGGUGCGGCGUCGAGAAAUGGGGUGGAAACAGACUCCCAGUAGAUUUAUUCGAAGGGUGCGUAGAGACCAUUGGAUUGACACGCGGCGACGUCUUGACAGCUUGUUAGGCUAACGGUUGCGUGCUGUUCAUCGAACACGCUUGAGCCUCUUUACUGCUCUUUACCUUGACAUUUCACUUCUGAUCAAGCGUUAUACCAUUGUCUGCUCCUUGUUUCCUGGUUGCAUCACCAUUCUCGAGAUCUAAAGUAGUUGUAAUCGUAAUUACAGCUAUCGAUCAAUAUUUUUGUCUAAAUAUUUUAAUGCCUACAUUAAAGCUAAGUAUAUGAUACGACAACCAAUUGGUCUCAAUAAAUAUAAACGCACAAAGAUCAUUUUUGAACAUAAAUUGUGUUACAAAGUAUGAUACAUGAAUACAUUUCGAUAUUCUUCGACUUUCAGAUGACUUGUGACGAUUUUUACAACUAUGGGAUCGUGUAUUUUCAAGUCCUCGAUCUCUGCAUGAUCUAUUGCGAAUUCCAUGUCCUUGGAAUCAUGAACUUCGAGAUCUGUUGGCAUAAAUCAAUUAAUUUUCUACCUUUAAACUAACGAACGAUAUAUUUCACUUUUAUUUUAAUUAAGUAGUUGAUUAAUCAAAUUCUAACAGCUACGUAUUUAAAAAAUAUUUAUCCAACUAGAAUAACUUUACAGGAGAAAAAAAGAAUGAAAAUACCCACAGCAUAAUAUCUGUUGAAAUCUGGAGAGCCGGAGGAAGGAUCAGGAUCGACGAGAGGAUAUUCGUGGUGCAGGGAACAGCAUUACUGUCCACGUGCCGUUUAACUUGAUCACCCUGGCCAAUCUGGCCUCAUUUCAACCUCCAGUUACUACGGCACUUCCGCUAACAAAUAAUAUUGUUGACGACCCUGCGGGGGCGUUCUGAUUCGAUUUGCUACACUAUAAAAGCGUGCUGCUGGGGAGAGCCAGUAACAGAACGGGGAAAGCUUCGCGACGACUGACGAAGAUGAAUAAAAAGGAAACGAAAGAUUCGAGGAGAAUGAAAGAAACAGCACAGAGAGGGGGCUGAAAAAUUGUAUAUUACUGAUAUUUCACUAAAGCACGUUUUUUGAAUAAUAAGAUAUUGAUCUUAAAGUGAUCUUGGUGCAAGGAAAAAUAAAACAUUUUCAAUAAAAUAGAAAUAAGAGUGAACGCAAUAUUUAUAUUCUAAUAACUAAAGAAUGAAAACGAACAUAAAAUUCAUGUUUUACAGACAAGUUUAGUAAGUAAGAGGUAUCUUCAUCAAAGUUUUCAAUUGCAAAUAAUAUGAUAUGAUCUUAAAAAAAUCUUAUCAAUAUAAAAAUAUAUGUAGAAGCGAAAUGAAAAUUUUAUUCAUUGCAAUUGAACGAUUUAUACUAAGAACCUCUUAGUAUUAGUUUGUACUAAGAAUUGGUUGAUAUUAGGUUAAGUGAACUGUUGUACCAGUUGAAUCCGUAAGUGGACUCCUAUGUAUACGAAUUUCAGUUAUAUAAAAUAUAAAAUAUAUAUUUAUACCGCAACAACUUUACGUAAACAGAGUUCUACUAUAUUACAAAAUAACAAUAAUCAAAUACUUUGUUUACGAUGGAUCGCAAAUAUUGUAAUCAAAUCGUAAAAUCGUUCCUUAUGCCACCAGUUUCACUCUCUUAUCAAUCUCACUUGUCCAAGUAUUAAAAUAUAUCCAGAAAAAUCUAAGAAAACUCAACAGGAAUCAUUUUCAUAUAAAAUCCUUUAAUUAUCUAUUCAUUUGUCAUAAUUAAUUAUUGUAACAGACUUUUAACGAUACAUACGUGCGGACAGGGAACACAAGUGGGCAGAGUGGCACGGGUAAAUUCUCGUCUGGAAGAGAGGAAGGAAAAAAAUAAUUAUCAACGUGAUACAGACGACAACGUGCUGGAAAGCAUGGCUACGGUCUAAUUAGUCCGGUUAUUUAGUUAGGCAACGGAGAUGCGAGAAGUUUACUCGGCCGUUCGGUGCUAGAGCCACUAAAGAUUCGUAUCUCCAGGACGUGUUUAAAAAUAAUUACCAUGGAAGAUUCAGCGAUAGUCACGGAGUCGUCCUCACCUUUGUGCUUCCUGCCCUAUGAAGUGGGCCCUCGUUGUUACGGCAUAAAGGCAGCCCAGCCAACCCCUUCAGUACGUCCUCGCGUCUCUUCCGGCACCGCUCGAGUGCCUCCUCACCUUUCAACCACUCUAUCACCGCGUUUAAAGAAGUAAAGACCAAAGGUUCUUUACCGUUUUAAGAGGUUAGACCGCUUCGAAAAGGAGUUUAUUCGACGAUGACAAUGUGACAAGGUGUGCUACGGGGAUAUGCCUUAUUAAAUUGACGGAUACACUACACACUGCUCGUAUCACGAAACGAAUAUCGGGUAGACGUUCAAUAGAUUCGAGAAUCGACCGUGAAGGAUACGAUAAAGAACUAAAGACUAAAGAACUCUUGUAAGUUUAAAGUGGAUCACGAAGAACAAUCGGCGGAAUGAGAGAUCACGAGUUCGCUAAUUUGGCGCGAUUUUUGAUAGUGGUCAACAAUCGGCGCAGUCGUCCUGCCAUCUACAUAAAUCCGCGUUAAUUAAUUCUAUUCAAUGUAUAUAGAUACCGCUACCGCUUAGAAAUGCCUAAACGGUUGUUUAUCUUUCACAAGAUGAAUUUUAAUUAUAGAAUUACGUAUAAAUUUAAUUCCAAUGAUUUUGUACUUUACAAUCGCCAUAGCUACAUACGAUAGAACAUUACGAAGCAGUUAAGAAGUAGUAAAGUGAUGUUUAAAAAGACAAAGUAUUUUUGUAAAUGGAAUACUUUCAUGAUUUUUAAUUCGAGGGGAAGCAUUAGAGACAGGUGAAAAUAUACGAGCGACGUGAUUUCUCCGAUAUUUAUAGUAUUUAUAUUUGUUUACAUAUAAUUUUCCAUAUAUUAUAAUUAUAAUUGUAGUAGGCAAAAACAGUAGUAUCGUUUAAUAACAGAACAGUCGUACGACAAGAAUACUAACUAAAACGUUGUGAAAGAAGAAGUUGAAGGGAAAUAGAGAAGAAGGAUAGGGUGAGAGGGAAUAAAAAUGGUUUUCAAGGUUAACGAACGGUGGGUCUUCGACGCUCAAAAACAAGAUUGCUGUUAGCCCUUAUUUCCUUCUCUUGCGACUACGAGGGAUUAGUCUUUUGCGUCGUUUCUCACAGGAAAUAUUAAAUUUCUAGUAGGCGCGUGUAUCUUUUUCUCUCUUUCAUUCUCAGAAUCCUACGACUAUAAUAAUUAUUAUAUCCUGUAUAACCGCGAAAAUCUCAAAUUAUUAAAAAUAUACACCCUACGGAUGUAUCAUUAUUGCGCAUUAUAUUGUGCAGAAGUAUACUCGUAAAUAGAUGUAUUCUCGAGCUUUUCAUUCUCUUUUUUUUUUUCAUUUACUUUAGGCAUUAUUUUAAAUAUCGCUAACUAGGCCUUUCCUAUUAUAUUUGGUACCCAGGGAAGCAGCUAUUAAAGUUCGCUUUAAAUAUUUCACUUUUUUUUUUAAAUAUAUCUCUAAACAGUUUUCGUCUUAUUUUCAUCAUUGGGUCAAGCUACUUGUGCAUGCAUAUCUUUUACGGAUUUUACGAGCUCACGACUCUUUCCUUUUCUUCUUUUUUUUCCUUUUUUUUUUAAAUCAAUUAAAACUAAAUAACGAUUACCGAUAAAACAGAGAGGAUCAAGCACUGACCAUCCGAGUUCUAGUAAUUAUUGACAAUUAUCCGUUAAUAUUUAUCUUUAAUAAAUGGUCAAGUGGUAAUGCUGCAUUUUCAAGUAAUCAACUGUUAAUAAACUGAAGUAUCGUAAAUAUCCAAAAAUUGAAAAGUUGAAAAUUCGGAAUUUGUACAGCCCUCCGAAUGAUCAAUGCCCGUUUACAAAUUCAUUUAAAUUCAAUGAGAAACACAAUGGAAAACUAUAACGAACGAUACUACUGGAACAAUCUGCAAUUUCUUGUAAAUGCAAAUUGUUACAGUCUUUUUCGACACGCACUAUAGAAACGUUUAUACUUCGUAUAGCUUUUUUUUCCUUUUUUUUAAUAGUUCGUGAACGCUUUAACAAGUUUGAUCACGCGAGUCACGUGUACAUCGAACAGGAGAAAUGCUAGCAAAAAAGAGUGAUUCGACGAGGAAUAUAAUCAACUGUUUCCACUAUUAUCACCGCUACUCGAUCGCUAACUUUUUAUCGUUCGAAUAAUUCGAGACUCGUCCCUCGAACGCAUCCUAUCGACGCAACAUUCUCUCGUCGAUAAUUUCCUUUCACUCUUAUCAUAGCCGUUAUUAUCGUAACAUCUAUCAAAAAAAGAAAAUCCUUCGUCCUCUCGGAAGUUAUUAAAUUUCCUCCUUAUAAAGUAUUAAUCUUUCUUCCUUCCUUUUUCUCGCGUUUUUCUUCUUUUUUUCUUUUUCUUUUCUUUUUUUUCAUAAACAUUCGAAUACAAAUUGUAACUAAUAUGGUUUAAGUAUUCUCGAAGGUUUCGAGUAAAAGUAUGUGUGCUUGGUCGUCGCUCGGUUUGCAAUUUGGUUUGCGAAAAACCGUUUUCAUACUACUUGUUGUAUCAUCGUAGCAUAAAAAAAUACGCAAAAUAUCGGGACUAUCCUGGAACACGCACACCAGCAAUGUUAACAUUAAUUCGAUUAAAAAAGGUUUCAUCGUUAUUCGUACGCAAACUUUGCUAGCGGCUCUCUUUUUUUUUUCUUUUUUCUUUCUUUCUUCUCUCGUUUUGAGCAUCUUCAGGAUCACAAAUUGAGAACAGGAUGAUUCUCUGAGCUACGUAUGUUAAGUGGUUUGAUUCGGGCAGAGAUCGAAAUGUACAGUGUUAAAAUGACGGUCUAUAGACUUGGUACUAAUUCAUUGGUUCGCGAUGGCGAUGUCAGAUGAAAUAUAAAUGCUGUCACAGAAGAUGAUUCUUCCGGUGUUUCGGUUAUUCUCGUUGCUGGGAGAAGAGAGAACCAAGAUCGCGGGUUCAGGGGGAAAGAUUAAACGAUCCUCGCACGUUUGCUCUUCCGGUCUACAGAACGAAUAUUCUCCAGCCUGUUGAUAGAUCUUGGUGUACUCACGAGUAAAUUAUAGCAGUAAUAAGUAGAUAAAAAUCGCUGAUCGAAGAUAAAUGCGAGCAUUGAGAUUCUGAAUAAUUCGUAAUAGAAGUAGAUCGUCGUUUACACUGGAACAAUAAUUCCUUGAAAAUGUAAAAAUUAUAGUACGAAAGAAAAACGGGAAAAAAUAAAUAUAAAAAAAUUAUUCUCGUUGAAACUCUCUAUCGAUAAACGAAUUAUAUAAUAUCCUAUGGUAAUCGUGAAAUAAAAUUGUUUAUCUUUAACGAAACAGUCGGUCCUGCAUUAAUCUUCACUUCAAGCUAGUCUCUUCUUUACGUCGACGAUCGAACUAAAGAAUGUAUAAAUUAAUAUAUUACAUGUCGACUAAAUAAUAAUAAUAAUAAUAUUAAUAAUAAUAAUAAUAAUAAUAAUAAUAAUAAUAAUAAUAAAGCAUAUACAAAGGAGAUGCUAUAUAGAAGCCAUGGACCAGUCCACGACAAAAAAGAGAGAAAAUAUAUGAACGCGUAUAUCGAAUACUUAAUUUAAUACGAUGGUUCUUUAAUUGUUUGUAUAUAUAUAUAUGUAUAUAAAAGAAAAAUUUUUCUUCUCCGGUAAAGUACAAACAACAAAUUCAUCAAAUGUACCAGAGCUUCUAACGUAAAAUUGAACACGAAUAUCAACGAGUAUUCUAAUUUCUUUCGACAUCGAUAUAUCGCUAAUAAAGUCUAACAUAUUUAAAGAUCUCUAGCUACGUGCUAUCUUUCUGUGACACCUGACAAGCGAUUGGCGUGGAGACGAACGUGUAAAACUUAAAAAAAAACAAAAAAAAAAAAGAAAAAUAAUUAAAAAUGAUAAUAAAAUAAAAGAAUUAACAAUGUCCUUAGAAAGGAAAAAUUCAAACAGAAUAA